rnacentral:rRNA from 1 species
CGCCUACGGGUGGCUGCAGUAGGGAAUCUUCCACAAUGGACGCAAGUCUGAUGGAGCAACGCCGCGUGAGUGAAGAAGGGUUUCGGCUCGUAAAGCUCUGUUGGUAGUGAAGAAAGAUAGAGGUAGUAACUGGCCUUUAUUUGACGGUAAUUACCUAGAAAGUCACGGCUAACUACGUGCCAGCAGCCGCGGUAAUACGUAGGUGGCAAGCGUUGUCCGGAUUUAUUGGGCGUAAAGCGAGUGCAGGCGGUUCAAUAAGUCUGAUGUGAAAGCCUUCGGCUCAACCGGAGAAUUGCAUCAGAAACUGUUGAACUUGAGUGCAGAAGAGGAGAGUGGAACUCCAUGUGUAGCGGUGGAAUGCGUAGAUAUAUGGAAGAACACCAGUGGCGAAGGCGGCUCUCUGGUCUGCAACUGACGCUGAGGCUCGAAAGCAUGGGUAGCGAACAGGAUUAGAUACCCCUGUAGUCCCC